GAUGAACGCUAGCUACAGGCUUAACACAUGCAAGUCGAGGGGAAACGACAUCGAAAGCUUGCUUUUGAUGGGCGUCGACCGGCGCACGGGUGAGUAACGCGUAUCCAACCUGCCCAUCACUUGGGAAUAACCUUGCGAAAGUAAGACUAAUACCCAAUGACAUCCCACGAAGACAUCUGAAUGGGAUUAAAGAUUUAUCGGUGAUGGAUGGGGAUGCGUCUGAUUAGCUUGUUGGCAGGGUAACGGCCCACCAAGGCAACGAUCAGUAGGGGUUCUGAGAGGAAGGUCCCCCACAUUGGAACUGAGACACGGUCCAAACUCCUACGGGAGGCAGCAGUGAGGAAUAUUGGUCAAUGGGCGAGAGCCUGAACCAGCCAAGUAGCGUGCAGGAUGACGGCCCUAUGGGUUGUAAACUGCUUUUAUAAGGGAAUAAAGUGGGUCUCGUGAGACUUUUUGCAUGUACCUUAUGAAUAAGGACCGGCUAAUUCCGUG
rnacentral:rRNA from 1 species